rnacentral:rRNA from 1 species
CCUACGGGAGGCAGCAGUGGGGAAUAUUGGGCAAUGGGCGAAAGCCUGACCCAGCAAUGCCGCGUGAAUGAAGAAGGUCUUAGGAUUGUAAAAUUCUGUCCUAUGGGAAGAAAAAAAUGACGGUACCAUAGGAGGAAGCCCCGGCUAACUACGUGCCAGCAGCCGCGGUAAUACGUAGGGGGCGAGCGUUGUCCGGAAUUACUGGGCGUAAAGAGAGCGUAGGCGGCACUACAAGUCUCAUGUGAAAUACCCGGGCUUAACUUGGGGGUUGCAUGGGAAACUGUAGAGCUUGAGUACAGGAGAGGCAAGCGGAAUUCCUAGUGUAGCGGUGAAAUGCAUAGAUAUUGCGCAGAACUCCGAUUGCGAAGGCAGCAUACCGGCGGCGAUCUGACGCUGAGGCACGAAAGCGUGGGUAUCGAACAGGAUUAGAUACCCGAGUAGUC